rnacentral:rRNA from 1 species
UACGGAGGGUGCCAGCGUUAUUCGGAAUCAUUGGGUGUAAAGCGCGUGUAGGCGGCUAGGUAAGUCAGAUGUGAAAGUUCUGGGCUUAACCGAGAAAGUGCAUUUGAAACUGCCUGGCUUGAGUCUCGUAGAGGAAGGUGGAAUUCCCAGUGUAGAGGUGAAAUUCGUAGAUAUUGGGAGGAACACCGGUGGCGAAGGCGACCUUCUGGGCGCAGACUGACGCUGAGACGCGAAAGCGUGGGGAGCAAAUAGG